rnacentral:rRNA from 1 species
UACGUAGGGAGCAAGCGUUGUCCGGAUUUACUGGGUGUAAAGGGUGCGUAGGCGGUUCUGCAAGUCAGUUGUGAAAACUAUGGGCUUAACCCAUAGCCUGCAAUUGAAACUGUGGGACUUGAGUGAAGUAGAGGUAGGUGGAAUUCCCGGUGUAGCGGUGAAAUGCGUAGAGAUCGGGAGGAACACCAGUGGCGAAGGCGGCCUACUGGGCUUUAACUGACGCUGAAGCACGAAAGCAUGGGUAGCAAACAGGAUUAGAUACCCUGGUAGUCCAUGCCGUAAACGAUGAUUACUAGGUGUGGGGGGUCUGACCCCUUCCGUGCCGGAGUUAACACAAUAAGUAAUCCACCUGGGGAGUACGACCGCAAGGUUGAA